UUCAUUUGAGGCAGCCCACAGGGAGGGGUGUCGCUGAGGAAACAGAAUCCAGGCCCCCCAGGCCUCUGACGGAAGGGACUGGAGCAUGCUGGGAAAACACAUCCACCUGAGGAGCACAAAAGACCCCAGGGGUGGAGGAAGCUGGCCUGAGGCCAACCGGAGACAGCGAAUUCCAUGAAGUCAAAGACGGAUUUUGUCUAAGUCAUCACUGCUCCACUCUGCCUAGGACAUGACCUUCAGGAGGUGGUUGUGGAAUGAAUAAAUAAAGAGGCAGGUGCCCUCCAGAAUCCUGCUCAGCUCUGGCCUCCUACGGUUCUUCAUCCCUGGAGCUUUGGGGCAGAAAUCACUUGGAAAAGCUUGGAUGACCAUCCCAGAACGUCGCCUAACUUUUCCGUGCCUUGGUUUCCUCCCGUGUGAGGGUUGAUGCCACACAUCAAUCUGGACCCAACUCUUGAUGGAGCCAAGGUUGAUCUCCUACAGAACACAAGCCCCAGGAAGGCAGGUAUGUGGCCAGAGUCUUCACGGCUGUGUCCCCGGUGACUUAGGAAACUGCCUAGCUCGCUAUUUAUUUGCUGAAUAAAUAAAUGACAUAUGUAUACAGCGUAUGAUGGCCCUUAGAAAAUGGCAGCCCCCUUCUUUCUUUUCUUCUUUGCUCUUCCUCCCCUGCUCUGUUCCGUUCCCCUCUUUUUCACCCUUCUCCUCCAGUAUCUGCUCUUGGGUUUGGGAAAAAGAAACCAGAAAGCAGUUCU